rnacentral:rRNA from 14 species
AAUUCCUUGUCGGGUAAGUUCCGACCUGCACGAAUGGUGUAACGAUCUGGGCACUGUCUCAGCCAUGAGCUCGGUGAAAUUGUAGUAUCGGUGAAGAUGCCGAUUACCCGCAGUGGGACGAAAAGACCCCGUGAACCUUUACUAUAGCUUUGCACUGGACUUUGAAUUUGCUUGUGUAGGAUAGGUGGGAGGCUUUGAAGCGGGGACGCCAGUUCUCGUGGAGCCAACCUUGAAAUACCACCCUGGUUCAUUUGAGGUUCUAACCUUGGUCCGUUAUCCGGAUCGGGGACAGUGCAUGGUAGGCAGUUUGACUGGGGCGGUCUCCUCCUAAAGUGUAACGGAG